rnacentral:rRNA from 1 species
AUUGAACGCUGGCGGCAGGCCUAACACAUGCAAGUCGAGCGGAUGAAGGGAGCUUGCUCCUGUCUUCAGCGGCGGACGGGUGAGUAAUGCCUAGGAAUCUGCCUGGUCGUGGGGGCUAACGUCCGGACACGGGCGCUAAUACCGCAUCCGUUCUGAGUGAGAAAGUGGGGGAUCUUCGGACCUCACGCUAUCAGAUGAGCCUAGGUCGUAUUAGCUAGUUGGUGAGGUAAAGGCCUACCAAGGCGACGAUCCGUAACUGGUCUGAGAGGAUGAUCAGUCACACUGGAACUGAGACACGGUCCAGACUCCUACGGGAGGCAGCAGUGGGGAAUAUUGGACAAUGGGCGAAAGCCUGAUCCAGCCAUGCCGCGUGUGUGAAGAAGGUCUUCGGAUUGUAAAGCACUUUAAGUAGGGAAGAAGAUCAGUAAGUUAAAACCUUGCUGUUUUGACGUUACCAACAGAGAAAGCACCGGCUAACUUCGUG